rnacentral:rRNA from 1 species
AUUGAACGCUGGCGGAAUGCUUUACACAUGCAAGUCGAACGGCAGCACGGGGCAACCUGGUGGCGAGUGGCGAACGGGUGAGUAAUACAUCGGAACGUGCCCAAUCGUGGGGGAUAACGUAGCGAAAGUUACGCUAAUACCGCAUACGAUCUACGGAUGAAAGCGGGGGAUCGCAAGACCUCGCGCGAAUGGAGCGGCCGAUGUCAGAUUAGGUAGUUGGUGGGGUAAAGGCUCACCAAGCCAACGAUCUGUAGCUGGUCUGAGAGGACGAUCCGCCACACUGGGACUGAGACACGGCCCAGACUCCUACGGGAGGCAGCAGUGAGGAUUUUGGGACAAUGGGCGGAAGCCUGAUCCAGCCAUGCCGCGUGAGUGAAGAAGG